CGUCUGAGACACUUCACGCAACCAUAAUUUCCAUUCUCUUCUCCAUCAGCUUCCCAGACAACCAUCCACACUUCUCCUUCCUUCUUCUCUCUUUUUCUUUUUCUUUUUCUUUUGCAUCAUAAAUCACCGAUGAGUGUUGCAAGUUGCAACAGCCAACAAGAGCUUCCUUUUCCCAUCAAGGGUUACAUAUCUAAGAUCGAGUCAUAGCUCUCAAACAUCUGCGAUGGUAUUUUGAAACUUCUCAAUUGAAAAUCACCAGGUCUACCACCUCUUGUGAUGCCAACACUUUCUGCAUGAAGAUGAAGGGUGUUAAAUACGAUCUGUCGACUAUAAGAGUUAAGUUUAUUGUUUCACAUACAUAAUUUUUUUUUUCAGAAUUAGAUUUCGAUUUUUAGGGUUUCGAUCAUCUUCUCAAAUUUUUUUUUCCACCGGGUUUACUUGAUUAUUAUGUAUUUCGAACUUCUUGUCCUUGGUUGUUGCAAUUUUUUAGGUAUUUAGUUCACGAUUUGUUAAUUUCUUAUCUGACUUUAGGUAUUUUUGCUCGAUCUUUGCUUUGUCGUGUAUUUCUUCAGAUUUAUUUACCGUAUGUUGUUGUCGUUUCAUCCAAAAAUACCAAAUGAAGCUCGGUGGAGUCUCGAACUCCAAGGACUCUUCCGAAGACAACUUGGACUUCUUCUCCAAUGAGUCUGAUGGAGUUUAGUAUCAGAGAAAAUGGGGAGACUCCCAAUUGAAUCAGCAAAACAGGGGAGAAGUAGAUUGGAUGAUCUAUUGUCAUCAAUUGAUGGCGGAAAGCAUGACUAGAUUGAUAAUUCCUGAAAAUAUUUUACCGCCAGAAAAAAAAAUUGUUUUAUAUUAAUUGGUUCAAGACUCUUUAAGUUGGACAAAAAAUGUAUGCAAGUUAUAAAUUUUAGGUUUCAUUUAUAAAUCUAGGUUUACUUAGUUUCCAAAGAGAAUCAGGGAACCAAUAUUCGGUUUUUUUUUCGAAAUAUUCCUAAAAGGACAACUUUCACAUGAAUUAAUAAUGUAGUUCCCCUCGUCAUAUUGUGAACUUAGACAAGGAAGUCCUGUAUAUUGUGAACCAUUCUAAUUUGAUGAAUUUCAUUUCUAAUUUCAAUGUCGAGACCAUAAGCAUGUCUAUAAAAUACAACCUUGGUGUUUUCCUUGCUAAAAUCAUUAACCAAAUGGAGUCUAUGUAUUGAAAUUCAAACGUCAGAACUUGAAUUAGAAGAUGGGAAAUGAUAGGUUCAUCAAUUGUUUUCCUUGGAUUUUGAUUUUCCUCAUUUUGUAAUGUAGGUUCAUCAAUUAGUUGUAAAUAUGGAUCCCAAAUUCACCAACUUUGUGGAGAUUAGCUAAAUUAUUAGGUUUUAUUUACUUAAGUUUUAAUUUUGAGCGAAUAAUUGUUUCUUUUAUCAAUUUUUGCGCUGUUACACCUCGAGGUUUAAUUAAAACAUGAGAUUAACCAGUUGAAGUAGCAUCCUUGUCAUAUUAAAAAUAGAUGACAACAUUUAAGGUUAUUAGUUUACAAAUGAGAUCCCAACUGCGCAUGUCAGCUCUACGCAUUUUCAUCAGCUCAUGUUAUACACAAUUCGAAAUCACAGUCAUCGCCAUAGCUCGGUAAUACUUGCUUCUUGAUUGUCAGUAUAAUUGUUGAUUAUUUAACAUUUUUAGUUUCAAUUAUGUUUCCCUUUAAUCAUGGCUCUAUUUAAUUAUUUAUGCAUUGUUGCUUUUUGAAUUUCAUCAGUUGGCUCUUAAGAUGGGUUCUUGCUUGUUUGAUUAAAAUCCUACUUUAAAUAAGCCUCUGCUAAUGUUGCUAUUAAAUAUACUUUGAGUUACUUUCACCAUGAAAAGAUAUGAAUUCGAGGUUUCGACUUUCGAGACGUUAAACAUUAUUUUAUUCUUUAUUUUUUCCAAUGUAAUUUUUUCUAUAAACUUAUUUAGAUCUAUGCUGCGUGGAAAUCGUUCUUUUCCCUGUUCGAACAUCUAUGUUGUACUGAUUGUUUAUUACUGCCUUUUUUAAUAGAAAAAGUACCAUUGAUUGUUAUACAUGAUUUGAGGGAUUUCAAGUUUUAUGAUUUCUGUCUGUAUUUUCGUCUGCCCCAUUCGUGUAAUUUCAUUCUUUUUGAUGAUGCCUAUUGGAGAAGAGAAGAAAAUUCGGUUUUGCUCUCUGUGCUCUCUGUAUGCAAGUUCUUUUAGUUUGAGACUUUUGGGGCAUAAAAAAAGCUUUCUGAGGUUUCAUCAGGGGAAAAUAGCAAAAAAGCAGCUCUUGAAGCUAAACUAAAGCAAAUCGAGAUUGCAGUGGUGUUGAGGAGGUUCUAACUGUUCCAAUUUCACCUAUUUUAUUUCAGGAGAAGCAAAGAAUAACUGCCACAGAUCAACGAUGGUCAAAGCAUUUGCUGCUAAAGGAACAGUGAAAACUCCCUUCAAAUCUGAAGGAACAAGAAAUUUCAAGACCUUCAAUUUCCAGUUCAAAGCAAUCUUGUACAGGACCAGAUUAACUUUCUUUAGCUCCUUCUACCACACCAGGACCAACAACUACGGGACUCAUUUUGGUCCUGUCCUCGAUGAAGUUAUGGUUUUCCCUGCUGCUUAGAUUUCAAUCUAUCUGCAUCAAGCUCGAAGAAGGCAUGUGCUGACGAGUAUUAUGGAAUUAUAGCAAUGGUCAUUUGUCAUUUUUUUUAAUGUAGGUUAAGCAUAAUGAGGCGCCCUACAUUCUGAUGUGUGGGAAGUACUAAGUAUUUGCUGUUUUUUGUU